GGAAGAUGAGAAAGAGGAGGAUGUCGUUUUUGGUGUGAAAGAAGAGGUUGGAGAUCCGUUUAACACCAGUAAGUACCGUCUCUGCAGUCGUUGAACCAAUAUGUAGUAAAGGGGUUCUACACUUUAAUGUUGUUCUGUAGGAAUGGCUGGAGCUACACUGUAACGUGUAGAACAUCAAGAGUGGACCAUCAACAAAACGUUAACAAUUGAUCAAAUGCAUCCAAUGACAAUGCCUGAAAUAAUGUAGUCCUCAAUAUCUCCUAUUAGAUUAGCCCAAUAUGCAGUCUUAAAGGGGCAAUCAGCAGUUGUUACAUCCAUUUUGGGACUUAUACAUUAAUGAUAUGUACCCAUUGUUUCUUGAAGAAUUCACUUAUAAAUGCCUCAUGAGCUUAGUUCAACUGUUGUACCCCAUCAGAACCCAAAAUAUGAGCUUUUUUUUACUCCAAUGUAUGUCAGUAAAUAUAAACAAACACUGUAUAUCCUCAAAACAUGGUUAAAACUAUAAUGUUGGUAUCAUGGAUGGUUGCAUUUCUCCAGCCCCAUCCCUCAGCUUUUUACCAAAACGGGCAGGGAGUACGCUUUGUUAUUGUUUCUAUUGCUGCCCCCGUUAAUCCUCAAAAUAAUUUCACAGUUUACUUUCAUAUCACAUCAAAAUAAUUUAAAAUACUUUAACAUCAAAAUAAUUUCACACAAUACUUUCAUAUCACAUCAAAAUAGGUAACCAGUCUGUAUAGAUAGAUAGCUAAGUGAAUUAAAUAUCACCAGCUACCUAACUUCAUAUUAGCUAUCUUGAUGUAUUUAUCACUGUAAAAAACUAACUCCAAAUGCAUUUGUAGGUAGCUAGCUACCAGCCAUGGAGGAGGGUGAAAGGAUAGCAGCCCCAACUGUCAGUGAGAGAGGAGGCUAUUCUGGAUAAGUGAGGACGGAGAUAAUAGUAACAUAAUAUUCAGUGUGGUGUAAUUUGACUAUAAUGAAGUGUGUUUCUUGUGAGGUUUUCUGUCCUCAGAUAAAGAGCUCUAUGAAAGCCAGUCUACAUAUGAAGAGGUCCCAAUGAAGAGCAGUGGUUCUCAGUCCUGGGGACUCAAAGAGGCACAUUGUUGUUUUUGCCUCAGCACUGCACAGCUGAUUCAAAUGAUCAACUCAUUAUCAAGCUUCAAGUGAUACCUUGUAACUGGAGAUUCCUUCAAAACGAUUGCCUACAGUUACCGUGUAGGGCACUGCAAGGUUGGGUGACCAGGGUCAUCUGGGACUGCCUCCUGGAGGAAUUCAGAUGUGUGAAGGCUACCUGUGUCCUGCGUAACUUCAUGAGGAUGGACACGCGGACCAGGAGGGGAUCUGCAGAUCGCCGCCGUGUCCCAGAGGAGGAGUCUGCUGCUCUGCAGGAUGUUUCAAGGAUGGGGUCCAACAACGCAGCAAGAGAGGCAAUCCGUGUGCAGGAGAUCUUCACCUCCUACUUCUUCAAAGAGGGUGCUGUUCCCUGGCAACACCAUAGACUACACUAUGCACAACCAAAGGCUCUUUUAAGAGCCAUUCACAUUGCAAUAAGAGUAUUCUUCCAUUUACUUAGCUAUGUCAACUGCAGUUAUUCAAUUCCUAGUGUCUCUCCCUUUGAUUUCUACUUCUCAGAUGAGGGUGCUGUUUAGGUAAGGGUGUGAUGUCUGUGCAAAAAACAAAACAGGCUAUUUUAAAUCACCCAUAUUGAAAAAAUGUAGAGCAAUUAGACACCCUAUAACCCACACCUACACACUCAUGUAUCAAUCUGAUUGAUGGAUUGUGUUGUGCAGUAAGCAGGCUCAGGUGUAUAACUGUGGCUCCUUCCACCUUCAAAGAAUAGGCAAGAGGGCCAACCAUGGAGAAUAGUAAGACACUUCAUUAUUUCUAUAACUACGCUAUAUUGUUUGUCCUUGUGUGUCCGUUCAUGUUUUUCAGCAUAAAGUACUCAGCAGCCAAUAAGUGUGGUGUGGACACCAGUCCUCUAGGUUAUAUCAGCUGUGUCGGUGAACCCCUCCUGCAUCUGAACUGGCUACAUAGAGGGCACAGCAUGAUCAGAGGUGAAAGGUCACUUGGUCAGAUAUGUUUUAAUGUGAGAGGAUGCCAACCCCCAGUCCCAUCAUCGCCACCUCACCUGCUUUUAAGAUAACCUUUGGGCCGACUAGAGACACUGCUAUGUAGUUGUGAUGAACUGAGAGAAUAUUUAUGUAGCACUGUGAUUCAUUAAUCAUGUGCUGCCUUCCCUGCUCCUAUGUGCUUACCUCUUUCCCUUUGUCUUUUACACCUCUCUCUCCACCUCCUCUUUCUUCCUCUGUUUUUAUAAUUCACAACAGAUGUGCAUUGAAGUACAGAUUGAACUUGUAUUUAUAACACUUGGAUAAUGAGCUUUUCAAUAAAGCGUUUCACAUUC